CCUACGGGUGGCUGCAGUGAGGAAUAUUGGUCAAUGGACGAGAGUCUGAACCAGCCAAGUAGCGUGAAGGAUGACUGCCCUAUGGGUUGUAAACUUCUUUUAUAUGGGAAUAAAAUGUUCCACGUGUGGGAUUUUGUAUGUACCAUAUGAAUAAGGAUCGGCUAACUCCGUGCCAGCAGCCGCGGUAAUACGGAGGAUCCGAGCGUUAUCCGGAUUUAUUGGGUUUAAAGGGAGCGUAGGUGGAUUGUUAAGUCAGUUGUGAAAGUUUGCGGCUUAACCGGAAAAUUGCCGUUGAUACUGGCAGUCUUGAGUACAGUAGAGGUGGGCGGAAUUCGUGGUGUAGCGGUGAAAUGCUUAGAUAUCACGAAGAACUCCGAUUGCGAAGGCAGUUCACUGGACUGCAACUGACACUGAGGCUCGAAAGUGUGGGUAUCAAACAGGAUUAGAUACCCUGGUAGUC
rnacentral:rRNA from 1 species